rnacentral:sRNA from 1 species
GUACCUCACGGAAGCCGGCUUUGGCCCUGCGGCUGCUACCGUCGCCGCGGAGAAAUUGUUGGAUCUGGCAGUCUAGGAAUGAAUCUCCUCUCAGCCUUUAAGCUCACCUGGUCAGAAUCCUUGGAUGAGCCUGUGGGACCGUUCCUCCUAGCCCUGUGGUUUGGAACCAGUGGCUUUGGGACUGUAAGAGGAUGGACAAAGGUAGUAUGAGGCUGGGACAGCUCCCCAAAUGCUCGGGCACCAAGCAUCUGCUGAUUCCACUCUGUGCCUGGCACGUGUGUCUUUCGGUCCUGGCUAGGCCUUGCCACCUCCCCCUGGGCCAGCACCACCCAUGUAUCUGUCGCCAGAGCCACAAUUGACUGACUUGCUGUUGAGCUGCUGCUCUUUAGCAUGGCUGCAUUUUGAUGGCAGAGGGAGCAGUUAUGCCCAGAGCCCAGCGUGUCGGCAUCACCAGUCUGACCUGAGCACCAUGUGCUGCACGACAUGACACGUGGCACCGGGGGAACUGCCCAGCGUGGAAGGUCUGGGCCAGGUCUGAGCCCAGAUGGGAUCUGGAUGGCCAAGGAACUCUACCUUAAAACCUCAAGUGUCAAGGAGGCAGGGGAGGGGCCGAGAGGGCUGGCAGAGGAAGGGGGCUGGGGAGGGGUCCCAUUUGCAGAGGCUCUAGGAUCUUAGGAGGCCCGAAUCUACCAUUUCUCUCUUGCUAGAUUCUCAGGGGCUGCUAGAUUCAUCCCUGAUGGCAUCAGGCACUGCCAGCCGCUCAGAGGAUGAGGAGUCACUGGCAGGGCAGAAGCGAGCCUCCUCUCAGGCCUUGGGCACCAUCCCUAAACGGAGAAGCUCCUCCAGGUUCAUCAAGAGGAAGAAGUUCGAUGAUGAGCUGGUGGAGAGCAGCCUGGCAAAGUCUUCUACCCGGGCGAAGGGGGCCAGUGGAGUGGAACCAGGGCGCUGUUCAGGGAGUGAACCCUCCUCCAGUGAGAAGAAGAA